CUUGCUUCCAGGGAGAGGAGUGGGUGUGCUUCCAAGCCGUGCGCCUUCAUCAAGUUGCCCAUCCCUUCUUCCACAGGAAGUAGAUUCUCUUUUUCUCCUGGAGCCUCAAGAAUAGUUCCCUAUUCAUCCACGUCAGGCUUCUUCCGUGCUGGCUCAUUUUACGGCUCAGCGGGACAGCCUGCUCCUGCACCUUUAAGACUUCCUUCUUGAAGAGCAACCAGCCAUCUUGUACCCCUAUACCUCUAAGACUGGACCCCAGGGGACUCCCCCUACUAGUCUCCUGAACAAUUCAAAGUCUGCCCUCCGGAAGUCCAAGGUCCCUUGUCCAGCGCAGUCUGCCACAGUACUUCUGCUUAUGACUGUAAAGAUAAACAGAAGCAAGCACGCUUGGAGGGGCUGAUCACUGCAAAAGACAAUACUGCUUGUGCAUGGCAAUGAAGGCACCACUCCCUGCUGGCUCACCUGUUGGACCAGGUAUGUCACACUAACAGAGAAAAGAAGAAAAAAAAAACAGAGAAAUGGGGAUAAAAGGUCCUCACUAAACUAAGGACUUUGGAGAAGAACUCCCAAAGAAAGUUUUGAUGCAAGAAUUCCCCGAAGGAAAAAAUCCUCUUUGGAAGAAACCCCCAGGGCCUGUUUGCUGCAAACCUGGCUUUUUCCCAUCCCCCACAGUGACUGGUUGAGUUCCUGAGAUCGACAAACACACUGCAGACCAUGCUGGACCCGCGGUGAUUACUAUCACUGUUGCUUUCUACACCGACUCCUUGCUUUUAUUUCCCCUUUUCUAUCACCUGUCUUCCCUUCCCCAUAUCCCUAAGCAACUAGGAUUUGUAAUAAACUGGUCGGGCUACCACUUGACCCAUUGUGUCUUAAUCUUGCCAUCAGGAAUACAUAUAUUAAAAGAACCUCCUCUCCCUCUUAUAAAUUGGAGUGAGACAGAGUCCAACAAUUAAGCUUUGGAAAUCAUACUCACCCCAGAGGGCCAUAAAGAUGGAGAAGAAGACUGUGGCAGGGUUGUCAAAUAAGUGGCUAGCUCGAGCUGUAGAACAUGCAGAGCUGAGGUUCCAGUAAUCACAGAACUUGUCACAGAGAGGGCACAUGGUGAAGCUAUUACGCUGGUCACACAUUUCCUUACUGUGAAUGAUAAGUGCAUGAGUUCUUAGAGUAUUACUACUCUGAAAAAGGUUGUACAAUACUGAUAUCAAGAAGCAAUUCAUAGCUAUUACAAGAUAUUUUCAGUAUGUGGCUUACAGUACUCGGGAGGAAAAGCCCAUCAGCUCUGUGUCUCUUAACAGCACACUGCCAACCUCUGUAACAUUAAAGUACUGAUAAACACCUUACCAGCAAGAAAUUAAAAACAGUGUCCAAUCUAAUAAAUCAGUAUAUACUUUAUUAGUGAUUUUGUGAAGACUGCACUAAAGAUUGGGAUUAACAAUAGCAGAAGAAAAUAAUUAAAACACAAUCAAAAUGGAAUUUGCCAUCUCUGCAUUCAGCUACAUGAUUUUAUAUAGAUCAGAUUUAAAUUAAAGAAAAAGAAUUUUGUAGUGGCUGGAAUGGAAAUUCUAUGGGUUCUUAUCUCAUUUGCCCCUGACAAAACAAAUUUUUAUAUGACAGCAUAAAAAUCCACAUCAAAUAUCAUAUUAAUUUGUGUAUUUUUGUGCAUAUUACUGGCCACAUGAUUCUACAUAAAAGCCAAAUCCAACAUGCAGGCAUUUUAGUUAUUCUCCGUCAUGGACAUAGAUUACAUCUACAAUAUCAUUUGCAAGAAAGAUACACUAGGUUGUUGUAGAAGUGACACACAGGCAUUGUACACUGUCCAAGUGUCUCAUUUUUAGGAAAGAUGUUAUAUUUCCCAUUUGCUUUGAAAUUUGUCUCCAUUCUGAAUUUUAUCUUGAAGGAUAUUUAUAAAAACAGUGGGUGUUCACCUAAGAUAAGACUUAACACAAAUUCUGGUCUGUACUACCAUUUACCAUAAGGUUUUGGCUAAGUUCUUAAAGUGCACCUAAACGAAUACAUUUUAAGGGUAUUCAGAUACUGUGUCCACAGUGGUUUCAGAAAAUGAAGUUCCUUCACUUUUCAGGAUUCUCAACACAAUUUCCCCACAGUUACAGGGCUCUAUGGCUGAAUAGCAAAAAUAGCUUGCUUUUCUAGCAUAGAGUGCAAAUCUAAUUUUCAAACUUAAAUAAAUAAAUAAAAGCUGUAAAUCUUGUUGUCAUGGUUUUAUGAUUUUGGGUUACUGGUAUUCCACAUCAUAACAUCAUGUAGUGCACUGGGAGUUAAAGUGUUAAUGCUCCGGUUCCGGGCAGCUGUCCGGAAGAGAACUACAUUCCCCAGAGGGCUUUGUGGUCACACAGGAGAUAUAAAAUCUGGCAAAGUCACCUGAUGUCCCUUUCUUCCCCCGACUCUCGCCCCGACCGCACGCAUCUCCUCAGCACUACUGUUUAUAUGUGAAAGAACUUCAUUCCUGCAGACUCUCAUUCAAAUGAAUUGACUCCUGAAAACCUCAUGUGUCCUUACCCAAGACUGUGACCUAAGACUUUGCUGCAUCAAUUUUCAUAGAAUCAUAAAAUUACCGGGCUGAAGGUAAUCAAAGGAUUGUUGAGUCCGACUCCCAGUCCCUGCACAGGACCACCCAGAACUGAAACUUGAUGUCUGAGAGGGUGGUUUAAAAGCUUCUUGAACUUCAACAGGGUUGAUGCCAUGACCACUGUCCUGGAGAGCCUCUACCAGUGCCUGACCACACUCUCAGUGAAGAACCUUUUUCUAAUACCCAACAUUUUCCUCCCAAGAAAACUCCACAUCCUGUUGCUGUCACCAGACAGAAGAUACCAGCGUCUGUCACCCCUCUCCUCCCAUGAGGAAGCUGUAGACAGCCAUGAGGCCUCCCUUUAACAUCUCAUCUUCUCUAGGUUGACCAAGCUAAUGGACCUCAUCCCUUCUCAUAUGUCUUGCUCUCUAGACUCUUGUACCCCUCCUUUAGACACUCUCUAGUAGUUUAAUGUCUUUCUUGUAUUAUGGUGCCCAAAACUGCAUGCAGUAAUCAAGGUUAAGCCACACCAAUUUUGAGUAGAAUGACUUUUAUUACGUAUUUGUAGUGGAAAUGCUACAUCAUGGCUUGAACCAAUGAUUGAGCACCAGGUAGGAAAAUAGGGCCAACCCAGGCGAGCUUAGUUGCAAGUUAUGUGCCUGAGUGACUGGAACGGGUGGGGCCAGGAUCCAGGAUCCUUUUAAGGGUUGGUGGUUGAGGCAAGGGUAUCUCUCUGGAGAUCAAUGCUUAUCUGGGGAUCUUACAGGCCUUCUGAAGGCGAGGACUUUCUUUCUGUUAUUUCUGCACCUAAUUCUAUCAUAUCUAAGCAGAUCCUCACUUGCUGUAGCCUAAGACUUUGCUGCUCUGCCAUCUUAUUACUCUUUCCAUCACCUUGCAGUGUUGUAUCUGGACAAAGAGCGCAACAAUAAACUUUCUAAUUGUCAA